rnacentral:lncRNA from 1 species
UAUAUAUUUUUCCAUUGCAUUUGCUGCUACUCUUUUAUGAGCGCAAAGUGGUAAGUUUUGACAAACUUACACAGUGCGUAGCUCAUGGCAUAUUACCAAAAAAAGAGGAAAAGUCUGGGAAAUUUCAAUUGUUUGAACCUUGUUGUCAAUCACUUUUUACUAGUUCCUACUGAGAAAUUUCACUCUUGCUUGCUCCAAAUGAACCCAACCUAUCAGAGAAAAUACCAUUAUAAAUCACUGGUACUGAAAGACUGUCUAAAGAAACAGGCCUGUGAUACAUUUGUCAUUCCUGCUCUCGAGGGUAAUGCAAUUUGCAAGAAAAAAAAAAAAUCAAUGUGAUUUGGACUGCAUUUUGCAAUUUGGAACUAUAAAUUCUGGCUUAUCUGAAUAACACUUAUGUGCAUGGGGAAACUAAUGGCACAUACGUUGUUUUUAAACCGGACCGGAACUUAAAGUUCCUAAAUUGCAAAAUGUAGACCAUUUAAUAAUUGGAGAAAUUGACAAUAGAUUAAAAGAAAGUUUCAAUUUUCAUUGCAUGAAUAACCAUCCAUUUGAGUAGGGUCUGUCUUAUUUUUACUACUUUCAAAAUUCCUGUCAGUUUUAUACUUUAUUUUUUCUUUACUUUUGAUUCGUAGAACAUAAAAUAGUUUUUUCUUCCUUUGUAAAUUCUUCCCUUAAUUCUUUCAUUUUAGGAGCUCCUUGGCUUUGUUACAAGGCUCUCAAUGUUUUCAUAAUGAGGAUUCAGACAUGGAAUGGUCAGACUCUUCAGCAUCACAAACUUGGUGGUCUACAAAUCGGUCUACAAGAUGGAAGCAUGUCGUGCGUGUCACAAGUAUCUGGUUGUGACACUUCUUUUCAAAUCAACAAACUGCAGACUGAGAUACUCGUCCACGAGCAAAGAUUUUCUUUGAGUGGUGUGAUUCGAUACAAAAAUGAUUCGGCACACUAUGUGGCAUAUGUUCGGAAAAUGAAUGGACAUUGGGAAAUACAUGAUGACCUAAAGGAUGAGCCCCAGCUCAACCCAUCAACAAGCAAACACAUAAAUCUUAUCUUCUAAUUUAUACUGAAAUAUGGAAUGAGCUGGAAUCAUGAGUUGAAAGUUCGUUGUCACCUUCUUGUUUCAUUCGUUCAUCAGCACAUUUUCGUUUCACAGGAAAAACACUAGCACUUCAAUCUGCCCAAUUUUCGAAAUCCUUCUACUGUUGUAAUUGUAGACAUGUAUUAUGUAUUAUUGUAUUUGUAUUAUGUGUGUUUGAGAUUUCGUAGAUACAGUUGUAAAUACAGCAAUAAAAGUAUUCCUUUUUUUUAAAACACUUUUUUGAAGGACAAAAUUGUCAAGACAAAUCGUACGAAUUACUUCGAACUGAACAUAACCUAUAAUCAAAAUAACAACACCAAUAGGCAAGUUCUAGUAGCAACAGCCGCCAUUCGGUGGUCAGCAAUCUCCAGUGUUGCACAACAGCGGUCACCGCUUAUGAAAAAAACGCCCCUCAAGAGCCUCUGAGAAGUUUUGAAACUUUCAGCCGUACUUUCUCUGCGCUUGUAAGUCUGAUUGUCAAUAUUUUUGGCUCAAAAAUCAAGCAGAAAUAAUCUAGAUCUUGUGGAUCUGCUUUUUGGAAUUUGAACAACAUUAUCUCAGUAAUCGUCGAAGGAAAGUGAAAUUCUCAGUGGCGACUGGUGGCGCUAUCUCUAAUCUUGAAAUAUCCCUAAUCGAACCCUGGAUUCACCUUAAUUUGUGAAUAUUCAUGCAAGUCAAAGAAAACUUUGUUUAUUGUCGUUGAUGCAACUUCGGCGUGUUUUUUUUUUUUUCAUCGGAGUCAUUUGAUUCCGAGUG